ACUGCCACCACCCCCCCUCCCUGAUUUCCUGUUUCUUCACAGCACCUCCUCCCCAGCUACAAAUUGGUCUGUCGAUAACGUUCUUCUUCUCACCUCUCUGGAUUUUGAGGAAAUAUACAGACACAUGAAAGGUUUGGUCUCCCCCCCAAAGAUGUGAUAACACAGCAGUUGGGAGCGAGGAUCAUUGCGUUUCGUAUCUAGUAUGAUGAACAAUCAAGAGUGAGGGUAAUGGAUUAGAGAUAAUGUGCAACCUCCGGGCCAGACCUACGAACGAGGGCCGAUCAGUUUUAGCAGGAGUUGAAUCAGGCCAAGUCGGUACAGAGGGAAUCAAUCCGAAGGCAAACGGCACAAUCGAGAAGCAGGUAAAGGCAAAUGGUCAAAAAGCGGCCUAAGGUCACACACGCAUGGACUGACAAGAAAUCAAGGCUGGAACGAGGCGACACUGGUGAACACACGAGGAACUGGCAACAGGAAGUGAGACACGAGGGGUUUCAGUACACAGACAAUCAGGGGAUGUGGAGACACAGCGACUGUUCUUUCCCGAGAAGGCUGAAGAAAGUCUGGCAUGGGAUGAGACCAACGCUCCUCAGCGACGUCCGCAGGGCCACAAUAGAGGGAGUGUUCUCCCCAGCUCCGUCACAGCGUGGCAUAAGGGGACUGCACCGCCCGGGACAGCCACGCUCUCCAACGCGUGAUACAAAGUGCACAGCGCGUCACUGGAGGCGUCGUUCCCUCGCCGCAGGAACAUUUACAACACCGGGGUCAUCAGAAGGGCACGCGGCAUUAUCAGAGACACAUUCUCAGCCUCUCUACACUCCUGCUGUCAGGCAGACGCUACACCAGUAUCAAGGCUGGCAAACAGUUCCCCCCCCCCACAGGCCAUUAGGCUUGUGAACGCUCGCUGCACUUUCCCAGCAGCCGAACACUGAACUCUGGAUCCCUUUAACGAUGCUUUUCUUUCUGUUCUUUGUCUUUUUCUAUUUAUUUAUUCAUUUAUAGUGCUUAAAAUAUGCAUUCAUCAUGUCUACUCUGCACAUACGACAUGCACAAUGCACUAAUCCAAUUAUUUUAUUAAUUAUUGUAUUCUUUUAUUGUGUAAUGGAGGACGACCACAGUGAGUUUUAACUGCGCGGCGAGAGAUGAACGUGUUUUUACUGCACAUAUGACAAUAAAUGACUAUUGCACACGUC